UACGGAGGGUGCAAGCGUUGUCCGGAAUCACUGGGCGUAAAGGGCGCGUAGGCGGCCCGGUAAGUAGGGGGUGAAAUCCUGCGGCUUAACCGCAGGGCUGCCUUCUAAACUGUCGGGCUCGAGCACGGUAGAGGCAGAUGGAAUUCCCGGUGUAGCGGUGGAAUGCGUAGAGAUCGGGAAGAACAUCAGUGGCGAAGGCGGCCUGCUGGGCUAUGGCUGACACUGAGGCGCGACAGCGUGGGGAGCAAACAGG
rnacentral:rRNA from 1 species